CUCACCUUAGCUCAGUUGGAAGAGCAUAGGACUGUAAUGGCUUCAAAGUAAUCCUAGGGUCUCCGGUUCGAUCCCGGAAGGUGAGA
rnacentral:tRNA from 1 species